UACGAAGGGUGCAAGCGUUAAUCGGAAUUACUGGGCGUAAAGCGUGCGUAGUCGGUUAUUUAAGUCGGGUGUGAAAGCCCCGGGCUCAACCUGGGAAUUGCAUUCGAUACUGGAUAGCUAGAGUUCGGCAGAGGGAAGCGGAAUUUCCGGGUGUAGCGGUGAAAUGCGCAGAUAUCAGGAGGAACACCAAUGGCGAAGGCAGCUCGCUGGGACGGUACUGACGCUGAGGCGCGAAAGCGUGGGGAGCAAACAGG
rnacentral:rRNA from 1 species